rnacentral:rRNA from 1 species
CCUACGGGAUGCUGCAGUGGGGAAUCUUGCACAAUGGGCGAAAGCCUGAUGCAGCGACGCCGCGUGGGGGAUGAAGCUUUUCGGAGUGUAAACCCCUUUCGAUCCGGACGCGGUACGGAUAUAAGAAGCCCCGGCUAACUACGUGCCAGCAGCCGCGGUAAUACGUAGGGGGCCAGCGUUGUUCGGAAUUACUGGGUGUAAAGGGUUCGUAGGCGGUGUGGCAAGUUGGGAGUGAAAUCUCUGGGCUCAACCCAGAGACGGCUUCCAAAACUGCCGUGCUUGAGUGUGAGAGAGGCUCGUGGAAUUGCAGGUGUAGCGGUGAAAUGCGUAGAUAUCUGCAGGAACACCCGUGGCGAAAGCGGCGAGCUGGAUCACACUGACGCUGAAGAACGAAAGCUAGGGGAGCAAACAGGAUUAGAUACCCUAGUAGUC